AAAAAAAAGGGAAUUUACUCCAAAAGAACAUUCAAAUUCAACUUGCUGGACGUUCAUGAUAUGGUUUUCAAAAAUGAGUUAGAGAAUCUCCCACAAUCUAUUGCGUUAAUCUUCAUUUGAAUGGUCAUAAAAGCCAUUAUUGUUCUUAAGUAAAGAAAGGAAAACAAAAUUUCAGAACAAGUUAGUCCACAAAGUUUCAGACUAAAGCAUCGAUUGAUUUGAAGAUAAUCUAUCAAGCAAACAAACUCAACCCAGCACAGUUCAUUUCGUGUAAUAUGAAGCAGAAAAAGAAAAUGCUAAACAUCGAUUGAUUUCCUUGUGGCGUUUGCAAUUUAGGAUACAAACUAAACCAAUUGAAACCAAACAGAGAAGAAUUUG
rnacentral:misc_RNA from 1 species